GCCGCCGUAGCUCAAUUGGUAAGAGCAUCAGGUGCGUAACCUGAAGGUUGCAGGUUCGGUCCCUGCCGGCGGCA
rnacentral:tRNA from 1 species